rnacentral:rRNA from 1 species
CUCAGGACGAACGCUGGCGGCGUGCCUAAUACAUGCAAGUCGAGCGCGGGAAGCUUGUCUGAGCCCUUCGGGGUGACGUGAGUGGAACGAGCGGCGGACGGGUGAGUAACACGUGGGCAACCUGCCUGUAAGACUGGGAUAACUCCGGGAAACCGGGGCUAAUACCGGAUAAUACAUUGGUUCGCAUGAAGCAAUGUUGAAAGAUGGCUUUUAGCUAUCACUUACAGAUGGGCCCGCGGCGCAUUAGCUAGUUGGUAAGGUAAUGGCUUACCAAGGCAACGAUGCGUAGCCGACCUGAGAGGGUGAUCGGCCACACUGGGACUGAGACACGGCCCAGACUCCUACGGGAGGCAGCAGUAGGGAAUCUUCCGCAAUGGACGAGAGUCUGACGGAGCAACGCCGCGUGAACGAAGAAGGUUUUCGGAUCGUAAAGUUCUGUUGUUAGGGAAGAACAAGUACCGUUCAAAUAGGGCGGUACCUUGACGGUACCUAUCGAGGAAGCCCCGGCUAACUACGUGCCAGCAGCCGCGGUAAUACGUAGGGGGCAAGCGUUGUCCGGAAUUAUUGGGCGUAAAGCGCGCGUAGGCGGUUUCUUAAGUCUGAUGUGAAAUCUUGCGGCUCAACCGCAAGCGGCCAUUGGAAACUGAGGAACUUGAGUGCAGAAGAGGAGAGCGGAAUUCCACGUGUAGCGGUGAAAUGCGUAGAUAUGUGGAGGAACA